rnacentral:misc_RNA from 1 species
GAAACCUCUCAACCACCCUCAAAGGUGGCUUGGAAAUGGGGGAACUGUUGCAGGCUCAGCCAGAGUCUGCUCCCCUGAAAUGCAUUAGUGGUGUCUGGGCUGACUGCCACAGGUGUGAUAACUAUCAGUGCCUUGGUGGAAACCUUUGCUGCUUUCCAACUUCUAUGAUGACCA